rnacentral:sRNA from 1 species
UUCGCCUUGCUCGCCUCGCCGCCGGCUAUAUAAUAGUCCAGCUCGGCCAAGACCCCUACCCCAAGCACAGCGAACAGGUUGAGAUCUAGAAAGGGAGAGGAGACUACAGAUACAUACUGAGAGAAAAUGCCAGCGCUUACUGGUCAGGUGAAGUGGUUCAACGAGAGCAAGGGGUUCGGCUUUAUCACCCCCGACGACGGCAGCAAGGACGUCUUCGUGCACUUCUCGGCAAUCGUUGACGCCGGCUUCAAGACCCUCGCCGAGGGCCAGCGUGUCGAAUUCAGAAUCGAAAGCGGCGCAAAAGGCCCGUCCGCCGCCAAUGUCAAGGCCAUAUAGGAGGAGGAGCAAUAUCGGCAUCCUUUUGUAAUUUGCUCCACCCGACCGAGCAAAUGGAGUC